AAAACUUUCAACAACGGAUCUCUUGGCUGUGGCAUCGAUGAAGAACGCAGCGAAAUGCGAUAACUAAUGUGAAUUGCAGAAUUCAGUGAAUCAUCGAGUCUUUGAACGCACAUUGCGCCCGCUGGUAUUCCGGCGGGCAUGCCUGUCCGAGCGUCAUUU
rnacentral:rRNA from 11 species